rnacentral:tRNA from 1 species
GAAAUGUGAUGAUCAUGGAAGAGCUGCUAACUCUCCCUCUAGCGGUUAGAAUCCGUUAACAUUUCU